rnacentral:misc_RNA from 1 species
ACAGGUACAGACUAGGAGAUGUCGUGAAGGUUAUGGGAUACCAUAAGUCAACCCCAGAACUUAAAUUUGGAUACAGGAGGAGCGUACUACUCACUAUAAACAUCGNGAACACUGAGAAAGACUUACAGUUGUCUGUGGAAGAAGCAGCCAAGCUAUUAGCUGGGGAGAAACUUGAACUUGUUGAUUUCAGCAGUAUAGUGG